GCAGUCGAGCGGACAGAUGGGAGCUUGCUCCCUGAUGUUAGCGGCGGACGGGUGAGUAACACGUGGGUAACCUGCCUGUAAGACUGGGAUAACUCCGGGAAACCGGGGCUAAUACCGGAUGGUUGUUUGAACCGCAUGGUUCAAACAUAAAAGGUGGCUUCGGCUACCACUUACAGAUGGACCCGCGGCGCAUUAGCUAGUUGGUGAGGUAACGGCUCACCAAGGCAACGAUGCGUAGCCGACCUGAGAGGGUGAUCGGCCACACUGGGACUGAGACACGGCCCAGACUCCUACGGGAGGCAGCAGUAGGGAAUCUUCCGCAAUGGACGAAAGUCUGACGGAGCAACGCCGCGUGAGUGAUGAAGGUUUUCGGAUCGUAAAGCUCUGUUGUUAGGGAAGAACAAGUACCGUUCGAAUAGGGCGGUACCUUGACGGUACCUAACCAGAAAGCCACGGCUAACUACGUGCCAGCAGCCGCGGUAAUACGUAGGUGGCAAGCGUUGUCCGGAAUUAUUGGGCGUAAAGGGCUCGCAGGCGGUUUCUUAAGUCUGAUGUG
rnacentral:rRNA from 1 species